GUCAUUCAAGUAGCACAUAGUGUUACCUUCAAUCCUUAACUUGCAAAAAUGGUUAUUUGCAAGGUUGAGCUCGACAGCCCAACAAAAUCUAAUAUUUUUCAUGCAUCACGUUGUGACGCCCCCAAAACAGGUAUACAUCACCCAUCUUGGGUCACCAGAUAUUACACUACAUAAAUCAAAUACAAACUUAAUUAUACAACUGUCGAGCAAAAUACGACAAAACAUAGCUGAGAGUUUAAAUACGAAUAUUGCCUUCUAGACAAUAUCCAC
rnacentral:lncRNA from 1 species